CAGUCGCCGCGGGAAUACGAAGGGGGCUAGCGUUGCUCGGAAUGACUGGGCGUAAAGGGCGCGUAGGCGGUUCGUACAGUCAGAUGUGAAAUUCCUGGGCUCAACCUGGGGGCUGCAUUUGAUACGUGCGGACUAGAGUGGGGAAGAGGGUCGUGGAAUUCCCAGUGUAGAGGUGAAAUUCGUAGAUAUUGGGAAGAACACCGGUGGCGAAGGCGGCGACCUGGUCCUUGACUGACGCUGAGGCGCGAAAGCGUGGGGAGCAAACAGGAUUAGAUACCCCUGUAGUCCCUGUCUCUUAUAC
rnacentral:rRNA from 1 species